CCUGUCAUCUCCAGGUCCUGUCUCACAGGCUGGGGCAGAGCCCAAGGCCAGGAUAAAAGGGACUUGGGAACAGAGCCCCUCCAUGCACUCCUCUCCUGAGGUACUGACAGACCCAGUGCUGCCUGUGCACCGCUCCUGACCCUGCCUGCAGAGAUGUCCUGCCAGCAGAACCAGCAGCAGUGCCAGCCCCCUCCCAAAUGCCCCCCCAAGUGUCCUGCCCCCAAGUGCCCCCCCAAGUGUCCCCCAAAGUGCCCUCCAGUCUCUUCCUGCUGUGGCUCCAGCUCUGGGGGUGGAGGCUGCUGUAGCUCUGGGGGCGGGGGCUGUUGUAGCUCUGGGGGUGGUGGCUGCUGUCUGAGCCACCACAGGCAACGCAGAUCCCACCGCCACAGGCACCAGAGCUCUGACUGCUGCAGCCAGCCCUUGGGGGGCUCCAGCUGCUGUGGAGGGAGCAGUCAGUCAUCUGGAGGCUGCUGCUGAAGUGGAUUCUGAGCCAAGAAGAGCAGAAAUAGAGGCAGAAAGGAGCAAGGUCAUCUUUCUUGGGUCUGCCUGCACUGCUGAGACAUUUCAGUGAAGACUUCAAAUCAUGUUCUCAAGAAUCUUCUUACCUGGAAUCCAGAAAUCUGUGCCUUCUUAAACACUCAUUUUCUGAACUCUGAUCCCAUGUCUGCAGCCUGCCUGCCCUGGGAACCCCAGAUAAUGAUUCCUAUGCCAUUCCACAGAUGAUUUCUUUGGUAGUCCCCUACCUGAAGCAAAACAAUAAAAUAAUCUACUCAUCA